AGAACACUGGAACGCCUUGGUGAGCGUCGUCGCCAUUAUCACAACACCAGACGGAUGGAGCAUUUGGGUGAUAGGUUAAACAUUUUAGUUGAGACAAAUCAGAAGAUUUUUAAGUAUAAUAUAUUGUGGAGGGAACCACAUUCAAGUGCCCUCCAGUGGCAAUAUCUCAUGUGCUAGGUGCUCCUGAUUGAUGGAAAGCAGUCCUGUGUUGUGCGCCUGUGCACCACCCACGCGCAUGCCAGGAGGCGGUGGAGGAGAGAAACGAGAACCACACCUGACCGAAGAGACACCCGUUGGUGACGCCUUCUGAACUUUGGUUAUUCGGCAAUCAUAUUGGCCAGCUAUCAUUGGACCUCGCCCCCAUCACAUUGUUUCAGCCCGCCCCUAGAAGACUUCAGCUUGAGACCCCAACGCCGGCAGCACGAUGACCACCAAGAAAUCCUCAGACUUUUCAUAUUAAUGGUCUGAGCAUGAGCAGACGGAGCCUGAAGUUCAUUUAGCAACUGCAGGGAUGACUUCCUCUUCCUCAGACUUUUCAUAUUAUGGGUCUAAACGCCAGCCGAGGGAGCCAGAAGUUCCGUCAGAAGCCCGAGGGAUGGCCAUUUCAUUUGAGAUUCGAGUUUUUGGAUAAUGAGUUCAAAUUAAGUCUAAUGGGACCUCCAGGGGAGGUAGCACCAGUGAUCGCGAAGAUCAUGGACAUGGGAGCCCCUACAGAUUCUGAUUUUAGCUGGAAAACAAGCUACCCAGUGAGCCUAUAUGCUGGGGAGGGUCCGAGGGCCUCCACAAGCUCAUUUAGGGUAUCCCCACUUUGGGAAGUGGCUUUCUUUGACAGCCAUUUGAGGGUCAAUGACACCCUACGUUCAGUUUCGAUCAAUAUGUUUGCCUUCGUUUCAAUUUGGCUGUAGUGUCCUUCGUUACCCUUUGGAAUUUGGUUUGUUCAGAGAGUAUGAGGUUCAUACUUUCUAGUAAUGAACCUCAUACUCUCUGACCAAACUAAAUUCCAAAGGGUAACAAAGGACAC